CGGGGCUCCAGCCGGGGCAGGGUCGCAGAGGCGGGACUUCCGGUCGGAAGGUGGCCGCUGUCAGAGCCGGCUCGGCCGGCUGCCAGUACCCUGGUGGAGGUGUGUUGAGUUCAUAGCGACCCUGUGAGGUCUUCUGGCUAGAUUCUAGAGGACUUUCUCCAAAAACAACAAGCAAGGCUGGCAGAGUGAUCUACGCAUGUAAUAGGAGCUUCUGAGGAAGCCACGUGUAAGAAGCAACCUGCUGUGAACUAGAAUUGUGAUGCUGGGAGUGAUCUGAUUCCUGCAGGCCCCUCUCCCUUCUCAGCUCUGCUACGUGGAGAGGCCAUACGAGAAGCCAUAUAAGAAGGAGAGGCCCUGAGAGAAAAGCCUAGCUAGAGGAAUUUAAGGCCAGACCCCUGCUGACCUACUAGCUGGGUGAAUCCACAUGAGUGACCAUUGGCAAGAUCAACAGAAGAGUCACCCAGCUAAGACCGGAUUGCAGAAUUGUUCAGAGGCCACUUCUGGAGUCAAUGCACAUUUGUGUUUGUGUCCCAGACUGUCUACACCUGCUCCUCUGGAGGACCACAAUUGUUUAUCAGACUAAGCUUGGGUCAUCAAGGAACCUUAAGUUACACUCAGCUUAUUUUAUUGCAG
ensembl:lncRNA